GGGUGUUUAGUCUAGUGGUCAGGACGCUUCGUUGUGGUUCCCCUGGAGGAUCGCAACGACCGAAGAAACCCCGGUUCGAUUCCGGGAACGCCCA
rfam:Thielavia terrestris NRRL 8126 chromosome 3, complete sequence.